rnacentral:rRNA from 1 species
GACGAACGCUGGCGGCGUGCCUAAUACAUGCAAGUAGAACGCACAGUUUAUACCGUAGCUUGCUACACCAUAGACUGUGAGUUGCGAACGGGUGAGUAACGCGUAGGUAACCUGCCUGGUAGCGGGGGAUAACUAUUGGAAACGAUAGCUAAUACCGCAUAAUAUUAAUUAUUGCAUGAUAAUUAAUUGAAAGGUGCAAUUGCACCACUACCAGAUGGACCUGCGUUGUAUUAGCUAGUAGGUGAGGUAACGGCUCACCUAGGCGACGAUACAUAGCCGACCUGGGAGGGUGGUCGGCCACACUGGGACUGGGACACGGCCCAGACUCCUACGGGAGGCAGCAGUAGGGGAUCUUCGGCAAUGGACGAAAGUCUGACCGAGCAACGCCGCGUGAGUGAAGAAGGUUUUCGGAUCGUAAAGCUCUGUUGUAAGAGAAGAACGGGUGUGAGAGUGGAAAGUUCACACUGUGACGGUAUCUUACCAGAAAGGGACGGCUAACUACGUG